GGGGAAUCUUCCGCAAUGGACGAAAGUCUGACGGAGCAACGCCGCGUGAGUGAUGACGGCCUUCGGGUUGUAAAGCUCUGUUAAUCGGGACGAAUGGUUCUUGUGCAAAUAGUGCAAGGAUUUGACGGUACCGGAAUAGAAAGCCACGGCUAACUACGUGCCAGCAGCCGCGGUAAUACGUAGGUGGCAAGCGUUGUCCGGAAUUAUUGGGCGUAAAGCGCGCGCAGGCGGAUUGGUCAGUCUGUCUUAAAAGUUCGGGGCUUAACCCCGUGAUGGGAUGGAAACUGCCAAUCUAGAGUAUCGGAGAGGAAAGUGGAAUUCCUAGUGUAGCGGUGAAAUGCGUAGAUAUUAGGAAGAACACCAGUGGCGAAGGCGACUUUCUGGACGAAAACUGACGCUGAGGCGCGAAAGCCAGGGGAGCGAACGGGAUUAGAUACCCCGGUAGUCCUGGCCGUAAACGAUGGGUACUAGGUGUAGGAGGUAUCGACCCCUUCUGUGCCGGAGUUAACGCAAUAAGUACCCCGCCUGGGGAGUACGACCGCAAGGUUG
rnacentral:rRNA from 1 species